GAUGAACGCUAGCGGCAGGCUUAAUACAUGCAAGUCGAGGGGCAGCAUGAAGUAGCAAUACUUGAUGGCGACCGGCAAACGGGUGCGGAACACGUACACAACCUCCCUUUAAGUGGGGAAUAGCCCAGAGAAAUUUGGAUUAAUACCCCGUAACACAACGAAGUGGCAUCACUUUGUUGUUAUAGUUUCGACGCUUAAUGAUGGGUGUGCGUAUGAUUAGCUUGUUGGUGGGGUAAAGGCCUACCAAGGCUACGAUCAGUAGCUGGUCUGAGAGGAUGAUCAGCCACACUGGGACUGAGACACGGCCCAGACUCCUACGGGAGGCAGCAGUGGGGAAUUUUCCGCAAUGGGCGAAAGCCUGACGGAGCAAUACCGCGUGAGGGAAGAAUGCCUAUGGGUUGUAAACCUCUUUUUUCAGGGAGGAAUAAAAUGACGUGUACCUGAAGAAUAAGCAUCGGCUAACUCCGUG
rnacentral:rRNA from 1 species